rnacentral:rRNA from 1 species
UACGUAGGGUGCGAGCGUUAAUCGGAAUUACUGGGCGUAAAGGGCUCGUAGGCGGCCAACUAAGUCGGAUGUGAAAUCCCCAGGCUCAACCUGGGAACUGCAUCCGAUACUGGAUGGCUUGAAUCCGGGAGAGGGAUGCAGAAUUCCAGGUGUAGCGGUGAAAUGCGUAGAUAUCGGAAGGAACAUCAGUGGCGAAAGCGGCUUCCUGGACCAGCACCGACGUUCAGGCACGAAAGCGUGGGGAGCAAACAGG